rnacentral:rRNA from 1 species
GACGAACGCUGGCGGCGUGCUUAACACAUGCAAGUCGAACGGAAAGGCCCUGCUUUUGUGGGGUGCUCGAGUGGCGAACGGGUGAGUAACACGUGAGUAACCUGCCCUUGACUUUGGGAUAACUUCAGGAAACUGGGGCUAAUACCGGAUAGGAGCUCCUGCUGCAUGGUGGGGGUUGGAAAGUUUCGGCGGUUGGGGAUGGACUCGCGGCUUAUCAGCUUGUUGGUGGGGUAGUGGCUUACCAAGGCUUUGACGGGUAGCCGGCCUGAGAGGGUGACCGGCCGCAGGGGGAAGGAGGUACCGACAAGACUAAGCCGGGAGGAAGAAGGGGGGGAGAGGGAAGAGGGGGGGGAAGUUGGAUGCAGAAACGCGGCGGGCGGGGGGAUGGGCGUCGGGUUGGAAACAGCUUGCGCCGGUGACGAAGGGGGAGGGACGGGAAUGGGUAAAGAAGAAAAGGCUAGUUAGGGG